ensembl:misc_RNA Metazoa_SRP Metazoan signal recognition particle RNA
GCCGGGCGUGGUGGCGGGCGCCUGUAAUCCCAGGUACUUGGGAGGCUGAGGCAGGAGAAUCGCUUGAACCCGGGAGGCUGAGGUUGCAGUGAGCUGAGAUUGUGCCACGGCACUCCAGCCUGGGCGACAGAGCCAGACUCUGUCUCAA